rnacentral:piRNA from 1 species
UCUCGGGCUCCCCAGACUUGGCCUCCCUGC